rnacentral:rRNA from 1 species
GACGAACGCUGGCGGCGUGCUUAACACAUGCAAGUCGAACGGAAAGACCCUGCUUUUGUGGGGUGCUCGAGUGGCGAACGGGUGAGUAACACGUGAGUAACCUGCCCUUGACUUUGGGAUAACUUCAGGAAACUGGGGCUAAUACCGGAUAGGAGCUCCUGCUGCAUGGAGGGGGUUGGACAGUUUCGGCGGUUGGGGAUGGACUCGCGGCUUAUCAGCUUGUUGGUGGGGUAGUGGCUUACCAAGGCUUUGACUGGUAGCCGGCCUGAGAGGGUGACCGGCCACAUUGGGACUGAGAUACCGCCCAGCCUCCUACGGGAGGCAGCAGUCGGGAAUAUUGCACGAUGGGCGGAAGCCUGAUGCAGCAACGCCGCGUGCGGGAUGACGGCCUUCGGGUUGUAAACCGCUUUCGCCUGUGACGAAGCGUGAGUGACGGUAAUGGGUAAAGAAGCACCGGCUAACUACGUG